UACGGGGGGGGCAAGCGUUGUUCGGAAUUACUGGGCGUAAAGGGCUCGUAGGCGGCCAACUAAGUCAUACGUGAAAUCCCUCGGCUUAACCGGGGAACUGCGUCUGAUACUGGAUGGCUUGAGAUUGGGAGAGGGAUGCGGAAAUCCAGGUGUAGCGGUGAAAUGCGUAGAUAUCUGGAGGAACACCGGUGGCGAAGGCGGCAUCCUGGACCAACACUGACGCUGAGGAGCGAAAGCCAGGGGAGCAAACGGG
rnacentral:rRNA from 1 species